rnacentral:rRNA from 1 species
UACAGAGGGUGCGAGCGUUAAUCGGAAUUACUGGGCGUAAAGCGCGCGUAGGCGGCUUUGCAAGCCGGAUGUGAAAUCCCCGGGCUUAACCUGGGAACUGCAUUCGGGACUGCAUGGCUAGAGUAUGGGAGAGGGAAGUGGAAUUUCAGGUGUAGCGGUGAAAUGCGUAGAUAUCAAGAGGAACACCUGCGGCGAAGGCGGGUUGCUGGGCCGACACUGACGCUGAGGCGCGAAAGCCAGGGGAGCGAACGGG